rnacentral:rRNA from 1 species
UACGAAGGGGGCUAGCGUUGCUCGGAAUGACUGGGCGUAAAGGGCGCGUAGGCGGCCCCAUAGAGUCGGGCGUGAAAUUCCUGGGCUUAACCUGGGGGGCUGCGUUCGAUACCUAUGAGCUUGAGUGAGGAAGAGGGUCGUGGAAUUCCCAGUGUAGAGGUGAAAUUCGUAGAUAUUGGGAAGAACACCGGUGGCGAAGGCGGCGACCUGGUCCUUUACUGACGCUGAGGCGCGAAAGCGUGGGGAGCAAACAGG